UACGAAGGGGGCGAGCGUUGUUCGGAUUUACUGGGCGUAAAGGGCGCGCAGGCGGCUCAUUUUGUCAGGCGUGAAAGCCCCGGGCUUAACCUGGGAACUGCGUUUGAUACGGAUGGGCUAGAGUUCGGGAGAGGAGAGUGGAAUUCCCAGUGUAGAGGUGAAAUUCGUAGAUAUCGGGAGGAACACCGGUGGCGAAGGCGGCGAUCUGGGUAGAUACUGACGCUGAGGUGCGAAAGCGUGGGGAGCAAACAGG
rnacentral:rRNA from 1 species